rnacentral:lncRNA from 1 species
CCAGCCUAUCACGUUCAUGUCAGCCGCAGUCCCGUGAAAGUCCUCAAAGCUCCAAGUGAAGGCGACGAAGUGGAACUUGUAGGAAGAUCAGAGCUACAGGUUAAGUCCUCUUGUCUUUCAACGACAGCUCCUCGUCAGCAGCCGGAAUGAGAUUGAAAUUGCCUCACUUGGGGCCAAAAGCACCUGGUAAAUCACUUGGAGCAAAGGCCCUCCGGACCAAGCCAACUGAGGAGCGGAUGGUGCAUUUUGGGAAACUAACCCCGGAUGAGACCUCCACAACAAAGCGGCGGAACUGGGAUGUGAUCGAAAGUGGGUCGAGUGAGUCAUCAGUGGGUGCUGGCACGUGGGCCUUCAGCCGGGUGGGGGUUCCGCCAUACAACCUACACCCGAGGCCACAACCUACACCCGAGGCCACCAGCGGGCAAACGGGAACAAUUUGGGGAUGUUUAUGCAUUUGGCUUAAAGGCUUGUGUGGGGAGGAGAGAGAGAAGACCGAGGUGAGCUAGGCCCUUCUUGGGCUAUUGUUUGGGGCCUGGUCCAAAUGGAGCCUCAGCAAGCCUCAGUUGUGAAAUCAGCGCUCUUUGGCUACUGGACACAAGGGAAACUGGUGCAUUCGGAAGGCAGAAAGGCUCAAAGGAACACUUGGGGGCCAGCGCCAGAGAGCCCAGGGGCCUGAGGGGCUGCGGCAAUCUAAGGGGACGCCCCAGGUGCUUCUGAGCAUGGUGGUCCCACAGGAAACACUGUGUCAAUCAAUUGUAUUUACUGAGCACUUACUGUUUGCAGAGCACUUUACUAAGCGCUUGGGAGAGUAUAAUACUACAGAGUUGUUAGACACUUUCCCUGUCCACAACGAGCUUAACAGUCCUCAUGCUUCCCACCGAGCCUUGGCUCUGGGGGUCCACAGCCAAGUGCUCACCUCAAGAUGUCUCCCAGUGCUUAGAACAAUGCUUGGCACAUAGUAAGCGCUUAAAUACCAUCAUCAUUAUUAAAAAUUACUGCUUGACCGUUUGAUUCACGUUCUCAUGCUGCGUGACACUUCAGACAGCCCCUUGAGUAUGCCCCUUCAAAGAACUUAGGUAUCCGCUCACUCCAAAUCCGUAGUGCCUAUGCACAUCUUGAUUCUAUUUAUUGCUAUUGUUCUUGUCUGUCUCCCCCGAUUAGACUGUAAGCCCAUCGAAGGGCAGGGACUGUCUCUGUUACCGAUUUGUACAUUCCCAGCGCUUAGUACAGUGCUCUGCACAUAGUAAG